UAGGGAAUCUUCGGCAAUGGACGGAAGUCUGACCGAGCAACGCCGCGUGAGUGAAGAAGGUUUUCGGAUCGUAAAGCUCUGUUGUAAGAGAAGAACGAGUGUGAGAGUGGAAAGUUCACACUGUGACGGUAUCUUACCAAAAAGGGACGGCUAACUACGUGCCAGCAGCCGCGGUAAUACGUAGGUCCCGAGCGUUAUCCGGAUUUAUUGGGCGUAAAGCGAGCGCAGGCGGUUAGAUAAGUCUGAAGUUAAAGGCUGUGGCUUAACCAUAGUACGCUUUGGAAACUGUUUAACUUGAGUGCAAGAGGGGAGAGUGGAAUUCCAUGUGUAGCGGUGAAAUGCGUAGAUAUAUGGAGGAACACCGGUGGCGAAAGCGGCUCUCUGGCUUGUAACUGACGCUGAGGCUCGAAAGCGUGGGGAGCAAACAGGAUUAGAUACCCUGGUAGUCCACGCCGUAAACGAUGAGUGCUAGGUGUUAGACCCUUUCCGGGGUUUAGUGCCGUAGCUAACGCAUUAAGCACUCCGCCUGGGGAGUACGACCGCAAGGUUG
rnacentral:rRNA from 1 species